AAUGUCAUCACAACUUAAGUCUGCAAAUCAGCAACUCCGCUGAUCAACCACAAAGUAAUAAGGAGUAACAGCCUAGGAAGUUAUGUUAUUGAACCAGUGGGCAAACGUCUAUCUGAGUGUAAUGCGUUGAUUUGUCACACUUGUGUGAAACCUUUACUGUUUCUUGACUUCCAUGUACUAAAAGUCCCCAUUUAGGACAAUAGCUAUGAGUAAAAAAAUAGGCUGUUCUCCAGAAGAAUCAUAUGCAGACACCUUUGCUUCUGAUUCUUGGUGCAUUUGUCUUUCAUUGUAACAGUGAUACAUUCAAUUGUGUCACAAUUGCCCUUUAAUUUGGAGCAACACCAACUGUAGCCAGCUACUCACAGGAGGGGCUGCACCACCCUGGGGCGUUUUCAGGAACAUUGGCUCACCCUCUAUCAGUGUCAGUGAUAAUGCUGGGAUAAAACACCACAGGAUGCAGAAUGCUAAUGCUAAUCACAUGCUGCUGCUGAUACUGAUACCAAUAGCAACACUAAUGCCAAUAGUACCACCAACGCCAGUGCUAAUGCUAGUACUAAUGAGUGACAUAUGGAAUGAUUAUCAACUUGGAUGUUUGAGGAUUGGCAGCAUUAGCUCCACCACUGCAGAGUUCUGAAGGGUAGGACACAGGGCAAGAAAGUGCUGGCUGGGAGGAAGGAAGUGAAAGUGAUGGAGAAUAUGGCAAACACCUUCAAGUCUAUGGACCUAUUCCUGAUGGCUCUCCUGUUCCACAGGGAGCACUGUCAUGCCUGAUGCAGGGGGACCACGCUGGUUGGAGACGCUGAAAUGGAAGGGGAGGGGGAAAAGAAGAUCGUGCCCACGUCAAACCCUCCAGGUGAAAAAACAAAGCAAAUCUGAAACGCAUUUUGCUUUUGGAGUAACAAAAAAGUAA
rnacentral:lncRNA from 1 species